UACGUAGGGGGCUAGCGUUGUCCGGAAUCAUUGGGCGUAAAGCGCGUGUAGGCGGUUCGGUAAGUCCGCUGUGAAAGUCGGGGGCUCAACCCUCGAAUGCCGGUGGAUACUGUCGGACUAGAGUACGGAAGAGGCGAGUGGAAUUCCUGGUGUAGCGGUGAAAUGCGCAGAUAUCAGGAGGAACACCAAUUGCGAAGGCAGCUCGCUGGGACGUUACUGACGCUCAUGCACGAAAGCGUGGGGAGCAAACAGG
rnacentral:rRNA from 1 species